CCCCUCUCAUCUCUGUCGACACUCAGCUCCCCUGCCUCCCAAACACAGAGGCUCUACAUCAGCUCCCAGUCGCCUUUCUACUGACGGAGACCUUUUCUCAUCUGAGAUUCAGCUGUGAGCGGGACGAUCUGAGGACAAGGAGGAGAAAAGGCAGGACAGUCUUUAUUAUGAUUACACCACCAGAUAUUUCCCAACAGUGUUUUUGUAAUGUGCUGCCGCUGGCUGACUUUCAGAGCCUUCAGAGGUUUCGGUGAGACGGACUAACAGAACUGGUCACGUCUUCCAUCUGUUUGUUUCAUUCCUCCCUCUAUUUUAAAUUGUAUCUCAGUCAGAGAUGACGGGGGGAGAGACGGACAAUGUUUAGUUUCUGCUCAGCCGCUUCUCUCUAUCGCCUCUGAUUUAGAAAACUAAACUAAAAGAGAACAAACAGAGACACUGUUUAGAUUUUUUCAAAAGGACAAAUCAAAACGGAUAAAAAGUAAUUUCUCGGACUCUGGUAGUAGGAAAAAGCGAUAGAAGAGGACAUUUAACAGAGACACAGAUAUCACAUCCACACAUAUGUAUUGACGUUAACACAAUCCUGCCAUCAAUCAGGUGAGAGCCGGUGUAAUUGUUUUCCAUUUGGUUUCAGUUUUUAGGAUAUAAAGAUAUUUUUUUCUAACAAAUCUACAUCCAUAUAAGGACAAAAUUUAAGUUUCAGACAUGAAAUGAAACAGGCAAUCCUUCCCUCCCUAAUAACUCAGCCUUCUGAAGUGAUCGUCUCCUCAGUGACAGAAAUAGUUUCACCAGACACGAUAAUGCCCUCGUCUUUGGGGUAAAAUGUUAAGUGGUUCGGCCUAUGUCAGGCUCAGUUUGGUAAGUGUAAGGAGUUCCAUUAGAAUAAAUUACAGAGAAAGAAUAGAAAAUGUAAAAGGACAGAGAGAUUAAAAAACAGCCUUUUC